UCACUUUCCCUCUUUCCCACUUUACUUUCCCUCACUUAUCUCUUUCUUUUAUUCUCUCUUUUAUUCUCGUCUACCCGAUCGGAAUCACAGCAGCGCGCAGGAGUCAUGGCAUCUAAAACCUCUGGAAUCUCUCAAACUCAGGUCAACUCAACUCAGCAAGUUGUAUAUCCUCGCAUCUGAGCAGGCUAGUAAUAGCAGCGGUGGAAGGGGAUGGAGACAGGGAGGAAAAUGUGCCUGAAGUUCCGGUGGAGAAUGAUUUCUUGUUAAAUGGGGAGCUCGACGGGGAGGAUGUACAUUGAUUCAUUAUCCUCUGUGUCCAUAGUCAGUUAAAGUAUGUAUUAGUUAGACUUUGUCGGAUGGUUAUUUAUUAGCUUUAGUUUUAUGUAAUCUUUUGGUAUGUACUGUUUGAUUGAGAUCGAGAUGAUGUAUAGGGUUGUUGGACAGGUUGUGUAAAAUGUUAUAUCUAUUUUUAUGCAGCUUUGAUAUAUUUAUUGUUUUAAUUUUAUUAA